AAGAUUUAGAUAUUCCCGCUACAACAACGCUACAUCCUGGUUACAAAGAAGACGCCAAUGACACUUUGAUUCAGACGCUCGCUGAAGUACAGACUGAUCGACGUGGGAGAGGACCGUUAUAUUUACAGUCUAUGGAGAAGAGGACCAUAUGGUAUUAAUACAAUUUCAGGAACUACUUCCUUUCCAUGGGCCACAGGAACAGGACAAGGUGAGUGAGGAGUUCCUGGAGUAUCAACUCAUGGAGAUCCCCAUGCCCCAAGAUCCCACCACCUUUAAUGUUGAGGAGUUUUGGGGAGUAUGUCCUCAACCAAGAGCAAGGUGACCGGUUUGAGUCAGUUUGGGAGGCUAUCUAAGAUAGCAGCAUUAGUUUUAGUGCUCCCACACUCAAAUGCGGACGCAGAGAGGGUUUUCUCCAUGGUCGGCCGAAACAAGACCAAAACGAGAAACAGCUUGGCACUGAAUGGAACACUUUCGUCAAUCAUGACAGUCAAAAUGGCUGGCCUGGAACCACAGUGUUUCAAAUGGGAGCCACCAACCCCCUGUGCUGAAGGCCUCCAAACCUGCCACUAACACCUACAAUAAACAACACUAACCAUAAUCACACACACACACACACACACA